rnacentral:lncRNA from 1 species
UUGUCGCUAUCUUUUUUUGUUACGAAGGAGAUGCACACACAUGAUAAACAGUGAAUAGGGAGAUAACUCUUACAGAGAAAAUUGUUCGUCUUAGCAGGGUGAAAUUUAAAAGCGCAUAAACUAUACGAUACAAUAUGAGAAAUAUCUAAGCGACAUAUUGCGAAACAAACAUUUAUCGCAAGAACAAAAUUUGGCGGAAAAAAAAAAAUAAUAAUAAUAAUAAUAAUAAUAAUAAUAAUAAUAAUAAUAAAUAUAAAGCAAUUGUUUUGAAAACAAUUGUUAGGCAGUCUUUCCCCUCUGAUGAAUGGAUAAUUGGGUUUUUUUUUAUUGAUUGAUUUGGAAAAAAAGGGGGGGGGGUAUUUGUUUGUUUGUUUGUUUGUUUUUGUAAAGGGUCUAUAUUAUUAUGUUACCGGAGAAGUUUCAUGUUUAGUUUGGAAAGUUUUUCUUUUAUUUUAGAUACAGCGCGCGCGCAAUAUUGAGGAGACAUCACGUGACACGGGUUUAUAAUAACGAAAAACUUAGUCUUUUAAUUUCUUUUUAGGUCGGGACCUUGAACAGACAACAUGUCUAGAGAUGGAAUGUACACAAUGUAAUUUCUUUUGUCAUUGUAGGAAAUAGACAUUUUGAUCACAGUUCACCAGCAGUGCAUGUUUUGGAUUUAAUUGUUCCGGUGUAACUUUAAUACACAUUUAAUGAUUAUUUUUUGAUAAUGUCCAUUUUUCAGCACCUGUUUGUAACACAGAUUAGUAUUUCAAUCUCGGAGCGGACAUUUUAUUGUAGGUUUUUACUGAGAUUGACGGACCUAGCAAGCGAUUUUUACGGCAUUGCGAUUUCUUUUUUCUAGGAAAAGUCUUGAGAGAUAUCUGCAAAAGGUUUUUUUAUGAACCUUCAGUACAUGUAUGCCCUGCUGACUGCAAAUUUUCAGGUCGAUUGGACUUGUAGUUUCAGAGAAUAUGUGGAUUUUUUUUCAGAAGAGACGUAAGAACAAUAAUAAAAUAAAAAUUUUCUUGAAUAAUUGAGAGUUUGUUCCUUCAAUAAACUGUCAUAAAUAAACAGUCAUACAUAUUGAUUGAUUGAUUAGUUGGUUGAUUGAUUGGUUGGUUGAUU